rnacentral:rRNA from 1 species
GACGUAGGGCGCGAGCGUUGUCCGGAUUUAUUGGGCGUAAAGAGCUCGUAGGCGGCUUGUCGCGUCGACUGUGAAAACCCGAGGCUCAACUUCGGGCUUGCAGUCGAUACGGGCAGGCUAGAGUUCGGUAGGGGAGACUGGAAUUCCUGAUGUAGCGGUGAAAUGCGCAGAUAUCAGGAGGAACACCGGUGGCGAAGGCGGGUCUCUGGGCCGAAUACUGACGCUGAGGCGCGAAAGCCAGGGGAGCAAACGGGA